UACGGAGGGGACUAGCGUUGUUCGGAAUUACUGGGCGUAAAGCGCACGUAGGCGGACCGAUCAGUCAGAGGUGAAAUCCCAGGGCUCAACCUUGGAACUGCCUUUGAUACUGUCGGUCUUGAGUUCGAGAGAGGUGAGUGGAAUUCCGAGUGUAGAGGUGAAAUUCGUAGAUAUUCGGAGGAACACCAGUGGCGAAGGCGGCUCACUGGCUCGAUACUGACGCUGAGGUGCGAAAGCGUGGGGAGCAAACAGG
rnacentral:rRNA from 1 species